UACCAUUAGAUGAAUUGUUAAAAUCUAAUUAAUGGUGAAAUAUACAAAGCGCAAACAAAGGGAGUUAAAAUCAAACUAAUCAUAGAAGACACCUAAAGUUAAUAUCUUGAGGUGGCAUUAGAUGUUUUAGUUGUUAAUGGAAUGCCAAUUGCCACUUGCCAUUGGUGUGUGUUUGCGCGCGGGGAUAGACAAGAUAAUCUAGGCCAUGUAGCAAUGCAGUAGAAUUGGGAUUUCUAGUGGGCAUGUAGCGGCUCUAUGGGCAACAAAAGUAGAAAUAAUUCAGUGGGUGGAGCAUGCUCUCAUUUUAUAUCCUUUCAUAUGAUAUUUCCUUUGAGAAGCAGAGAUAGAUGUGAAUG
rnacentral:misc_RNA from 1 species